UACGGAGGGGGCUAGCGUUGUUCGGAAUUACUGGGCGUAAAGCGUGCGCAGGCGGCUUCUCAAGUCAGGGGUGAAAGCCCAGAGCUCAACUCUGGAAUUGCCUUUGAGACUGAGUGGCUUGAGUACGAGAGAGGUGAGUGGAAUUCCCAGUGUAGAGGUGAAAUUCGUAGAUAUCGGGAGGAACACCUGUGGCGAAGGCGGCUUUCUGGGCCUUACCUGACGCUGAGACGCGAAAGCGUGGGGAGCGAACCGG
rnacentral:rRNA from 1 species